rnacentral:rRNA from 1 species
GGCGACCGGCGCACGGGUGAGUAACACGUAUCCAACCUGCCGUCUACUCUUGGACAGCCUUCUGAAAGGAAGAUUAAUACAAGAUGGCAUCAUGAGUCCGCAUGUUCACAUGAUUAAAGGUAUUCCGGUAGACGAUGGGGAUGCGUUCCAUUAGAUAGUAGGCGGGGUAACGGCCCACCUAGUCUUCGAUGGAUAGGGGUUCUGAGAGGAAGGUCCCCCACAUUGGAACUGAGACACGGUCCAAACUCCUACGGGAGGCAGCAGUGAGGAAUAUUGGUCAAUGGGCGAGAGCCUGAACCAGCCAAGUAGCGUGAAGGAUGACUGCCCUAUGGGUUGUAAACUUCUUUUAUAAAGGAAUAAAGUCGGGUAUGGAUACCCGUUUGCAUGUACUUUAUGAAUAAGGAUCGGCUAACUCCGUGCCAGCAGCCGCGGUAAUACGGAGGAUCCGAGCGUUAUCCGGAUUUAUUGGGUUUAAAGGGAGCGUAGAUGGAUGUUUAAGUCAGUUGUGAAAGUUUGCGGCUCAACCGUAAAAUUGCAGUUGAUACUGGAUAUCUUGAGUGCAGUUGAGGCAGGCGGAAUUCGUGGUGUAGCGGUGAAAUGCUUAGAUAUCACGAAGAACUCCGAUUGCGAAGGCAGCCUGCUAAGCUGCAACUGACAUUGAGGCUCGAAAGUGUGGGUAUCAAACAGGAUUAGAUACCCUGGUAGUCCACACGGUAAACGAUGAAUACUCGCUGUUUGCGAUAUACUGCAAGCGGCCAAGCGAAAGCGUUAAGUAUCCCACCUGGGGAGUACGCCGGCAACGGUGAAACUCAAAGGAAUUGACGGGGGCCCGCACAAGCGGAGGAACAUGUGGUUUAAUUCGAUGAUACGCGAGGAACCUUACCCGGGCUUAAAUUGCAGAUGAAUUACGGUGAAAGCCGUAAGCCGCAAGGCAUCUGUGAAGGUGCUGCAUGGUUGUCGUCAGCUCGUGCCGUGAGGUGUCGGCUUAAGUGCCAUAACGAGCGCAACCCUUGUUGUCAGUUACUAACAGGUUCCGCUGAGGACUCUGACAAGACUGCCAUCGUAAGAUGUGAGGAAGGUGGGGAUGACGUCAAAUCAGCACGGCCCUUACGUCCGGGGCUACACACGUGUUACAAUGGGGGGUACAGAGGGCCGCUACCACGCGAGUGGAUGCCAAUCCCCAAAACCUCUCUCAGUUCGGACUGGAGUCUGCAACCCGACUCCACGAAGCUGGAUUCGCUAGUAAUCGCGCAUCAGCCACGGCGCGGUGAAUACGUUCCCGGGCCUUGUACACACCGCCCGUCAAGCCAUGGGAGCCGGGGGUACCUGAAGUGCGUAACCGCGAGGAGCGCCCUAGGGUAAAACUGGUGACUGGGGCUAAGUCGUAACAAGGUAGCCGU